rnacentral:rRNA from 1 species
UACGUAGGGUGCAAGCGUUAAUCGGAAUUACUGGGCGUAAAGCGUGCGCAGGCGGUUUUGUAAGUCUGACGUGAAAUCCCCGGGCUCAACCUGGGAAUUGCGUUGGAGACUGCAAGGCUAGAAUCUGGCAGAGGGGGGUAGAAUUCCACGUGUAGCAGUGAAAUGCGUAGAGAUGUGGAGGAACACCGAUGGCGAAGGCAG